rnacentral:miRNA from 1 species
ACACACACACACACACACACACGACUCACAAGCACCUGGACUUUCUCUCUCACCCACCACAGAAGGUGAAAUCAGGGUGUGUGUGUGUGUGUGUGUGUUU